GCCUGGGUGGUUCAGUGGUUGAGUGUCUGCCUUUGGCUCAGGGUAUGAUCCUGGGAUCCUGGGAUUGAAUCCCACCUCAGGCU
rnacentral:tRNA from 1 species